rnacentral:tRNA from 1 species
GGACCCGUAGCUCAAUUGGAUUAGAGUGGCUGACUACGGAUCAGCAGGUUGGGGGUUCGAACCCCUCCGGGUUCA